rnacentral:rRNA from 1 species
UGGGGAAUAUUGCACAAUGGGCGGAAGCCUGAUGCAGCAACGCCGCGUGAGGGAUGACGGCCUUCGGGUUGUAAACCUCUUUCAGCGGGGACGAAGCGCAAGUGACGGUACCCGCAGAAGAAGCGCCGGCCAACUACGUGCCAGCAGCCGCGGUAACACGUAGGGCGCGAGCGUUGUCCGGAAUUAUUGGGCGUAAAGGGCUCGUAGGCGGUUUGUUGCGUCGAAAGUGAAAAUCCGGGGCUUAACUCCGGACUUGCUUUCGAUACGGGCAGACUAGAGGUAGGCAGGGGAGAGUGGAAUUCCUGGUGUAGCGGUGGAAUGCGCAGAUAUCAGGAGGAACACCGGUGGCGAAGGCGGCUCUCUGGGCCUUACCUGACGCUGAGGAGCGAAAGCGUGGGGAGCGAACA